rnacentral:rRNA from 1 species
AGACGUCUACAUUAGAUACCCGCGUAGUCCCAGCUGUAAACGAUGCAGAAUAGGUGUUUGGACGGCCACGUGCCGUUCUAGUGCCGCAGGGAAGCUGUUAAGUCUGCCGCCUGGGGAGUACGAUCGCAAGAUUGAAACUUAAAGGAAUUGGCGGGGGAGCACCACAACGGGUGGAGCCUGCGGUUUAAUUGGACUCAACGCCGGGAAGCUCACCGGAUAAGACAGCGGAAUGAUUGCCGGGCUGAAGACCCUGCAUGACCAGCUG